UGUGGCCUACGGGAGGCAGCAGUGGGGAAUAUUGCACAAUGGGGGAAACCCUGAUGCAGCGACGCCGCGUGAGUGAAGAAGUAUUUCGGUAUGUAAAGCUCUAUCAGCAGGGAAGAGAAUGACGGUACCUGAGUAAGAAGCCCCGGCUAACUACGUGCCAGCAGCCGCGGUAAUACGUAGGGGGCAAGCGUUAUCCGGAUUUACUGGGUGUAAAGGGCGUGUAGGCGGGAAUGCAAGUCAGAUGUGAAAACUAUGGGCUCAACCCAUAGCCUGCAUUUGAAACUGUAUUUCUUGAGUGCUGGAGG
rnacentral:rRNA from 1 species